UACGUAGGGGGCUAGCGUUGUCCGGAAUCAUUGGGCGUAAAGAGCGUGUAGGCGGUCCGGUAAGUCCGUUGUGAAAGUCAGGGGCUCAACCCUUGAAUGCCGGCGGAUACUGUCGGGCUAGAGUCCGGAAGAGGCGAGUGGAAUUCCCGGUGUAGCGGUGAAAUGCGCAGAUAUCGGGAGGAACACCUAUGGCGAAGGCAGCUCGCUGGGACGGUACUGACGCUGAGACGGCGAAAGCGUGGGGAGCAAACAGG
rnacentral:rRNA from 1 species